UGUGUAUUUUGAAGGUCAAAGGUAGGAAAUCUGUGCCCUCACCCACACCCCAAGAUCAUACUUUGACUUUGCUGUCUGAAUCACAUGUUGGAAAGCAUCCUGAAUUGUGAGUACAUAACACACAGUUUUCUUUAAGGGUGCAUCCCCAGGUAGGUUGACCAUGUUUCAGUGGAAGGCUUCACUCCCGGUAAAGGGCAGCAUGAAUUGGAACUGAUGGGCUUCAAGCAACAAAGAAGAUUGAGAGUUGGGUGAGUCAGGGAGGGGUGUAUGCUUGGGAGGAUUGAUCAAAUGUAUUGCAUGACAAUCUCAAAGAAUAAAAACAAAGUGUAUUAUA